CCUGCCUACGGCUAUUAAAGACACACCCCGAUGCCAGAGAUCUCAAAAUAUGAAAAACCGGCCCCUUAGGAUCACUGAAACAUGGCGAGGGCACUGCCUUUAAGGGGACCAUCGUGCUUGUGAACAUUUCCUCUUGAGGUCUUGAUAAUUAAGCCUCUUGCAGCAGCUGGGCCUGCGUUCCUCCUGGCCAGCACCCCUCUAGUUAUCUCAGCCCUGACAGGGGCGUCUGCCCACCCCUGGAAGGUGUUACCUGGUGUUGCUGCGCCUGGUCCCACCCUGCACAAGAAAAUCGAGCCAAGCCAGGACCAAAGCAUUGCUGCCCACGGCCUGGACCUGGGCUCCUUUCCUCUGGGAAGGAGAUGGCGGCUCCUCACCACACGGAAAGUUGCGGAAGUGGGCUUUUCUUCUCUCAUUUCACUUUUGGAAUGGCUGCCAUAACAAAGUGCUACAGCUGGGAGACUCAGAAGAGCAGAAAUUUAUCCUCUCAUAAUUCUGGAGGCCAAAAGUCCAAAGUC